UUCCGGUUGAUCCCGCCGGACCUGACUGCUAUCGGAUUGAUACUAAGCCAUGCGAGUCAUUGUAGCAAUACAAGGCAGACGGCUCAGUAACGCGUAGUCAACCUAACCUAUGGACGGGAAUAACCUCGGGAAACUGAGAAUAAUGCCCGAUAGAACACUAUGCCUGGAAUGGUUUGUGUUCCAAAUGAUUUAUCGCCGUAGGAUGGGACUGCGGCCUAUCAGUUUGUUGGUGAGGUAAUGGCCCACCAAGACUAUUACAGGUACGGGCUCUGAGAGGAGUAGCCCGGAGAUGGGUACUGAGACACGGACCCAGGCCCUAUGGGGCGCAGCAGGCGAGAAAACUUUGCAAUGUGCGAAAGCACGACAAGGUUAAUCCGAGUGGUUUCUGCUAAAGGAACCUUUUGUCGGUCCUAGAAACACCGAUGAAUAAGGGGUGGGCAAGUUCUGGUGUCAGCCGCCGCGGUAAAACCAGCACCUCAAGUGGUCAGGAUGAUUAUUGGGCCUAAAGCAUCCGUAGCCUGCUUUGUUAGUUUUCGGUUAAAUCUAUGCGCUCAACGUAUAGGCUGCCGGGAAUACUGCAAAGCUAGGGAGUGGGAGAGGUAGACGCUACUCGGUAGGAAGGGGUAAAAUCCUUUGAUCUAUUGAUGACCACCUGUGGCGAAGGCGGUCUACCAGAACACGUCCGACGGUGAGGGAUGAAAGCUGGGGGAGCAAACCGGAUUAGAUACCCGGGUAGUCCCAGCCGUAAACCAUGCAAACUCAGUGAUGCAUUGGCUUGUGGCCAAUGCAGUGCUGCAGGGAAGCCGUUAAGUUUGCCGCCUGGGAAGUACGUACGCAAGUAUGAAACUUAAAGGAAUUGGCGGGGGAGCACCACAAGGGGUGAAGCCUGCGGUUCAAUUGGAGUCAACGCCGGA
rnacentral:rRNA from 1 species